rnacentral:rRNA from 1 species
ACAACGAAGAGUUUGAUCCUGGCUCAGGAUGAACGCUAGCGGCAAGCCUAACACAUGCAAGUCGAACGGUAACUUUUGGUGCUUGCACCGAAAGACGAGUGGCGAACGGGUGCGUAACGCGUAUGCAAUCUACC